rnacentral:rRNA from 1 species
CACGUAGGAGGCAAGCGUUAUCCGGAUUCAUUGGGCGUAAAGGGCGUGUAGGCGGCCUGGAAAGUCCUUUGUGAAAUCUGCCCACUCAAUGGGCAGGGGUCAGAGGAGACUAUCGGGCUUGAGGGCAGCAGAGGAAGGUGGAAUUCCCGGUGUAACGGUGAAAUGUGUAGAUAUCGGGAGGAACACCAGUGGCGAAGGCGAUCUUCUGGGCUGUUCCUGACGCUGAGGCGCGAAAGCGUGGGGAG